GGCCUUGUAGUCAAUUAUGAUUUUGAAUUGCAAAUUCAAAGGUGAUUUAAUCUAAGGCUU
rnacentral:tRNA from 1 species